GUCCUCGGGAGAGGUCCCCCAGCGAGGUCCUCCAGCUGAGAUCGCUUGUCCCCGAUGACCUAAAAAGAAGGAAGAAACUGCAAACAGAACUACAGAAACUUGCUAGUAGAUACUGCCUACUGGCAUACAGCACAGAAGAAGCUCAAGGCAAAGACCACGACAAUAGCAACACAGAAUAUUCAUGAUGACAUUAAAGGACUCUACUGUGUUGUCAACAAUCGCUGGAGGAGAGGUCCUGCCCAACACCAGGAAAGAAGGAAUGCCACAGAGAAAGGCCAAGAAAAGUCCUAGCACACAGGACCUGCCAGUUUUCGCCACUCAUUCCAUUACUGUGAGGUGAUACUUUUUCAUCCAAUUUCUACAUAGUUGUCCAUGCUUCACUGAAUCUAAGCAUAAAAUGAGUUUUC